CCCCUGAAAUAAACCAAAGUUUAGUAUAAGUACAUAAUAUAAUACAACCGAAAAAUCCCAUAAACCAAAGUAUCAAGACGUGUCAUUCCUACUAACCAGUCAACGCUUGCACAUGGCUCAAUAUCGAUGAUUCUGCAUUCUGCAUCUUGUUGAUCAAGUAUUCUUUGAUAAACAUUGAAAACAAUAUGUCUUACUUGCGAUCGAAGAGGUUUCUUCGACAUUUUCAUCACUUUUUAAAGGAAAUUUGAAGUCAAACCAAAAACAAUUCCUCGAAAUUUCAGUUGACACAUGAAAUUUUUCUUUUAUUGCCAUAUGAAAAUCGCAAAUUUAAAAAAAAAAUUGCCAUCAGAUUCUGGUAGACCUUAGUCUCUUUGCUAAACAAUCUAUGCUAGUUUUAUGUGUCAUACGUCUAGCAACAUUAACCUUAUCUGUGGGCAAAAAAAAUCUUCUAGCAUUGUCUGUCAUUUUUGUCUGACUGUCGGGUUCACGUGUUGCGCUUGGCGGUUUAUUUUUAUUUUUGAAAUUAAAAUGCAGGUUUACAUUUUUUAUCGAAAUGGAUGAAGAUGGGACUGCUGAAGUUGUUACAAUCAAUAGUGGUACAAAAACAAGACCACGACGAGGACGUACCCGAAUUACAAAAUCAGCUUCUAAGUAUGCGGAGACUAGUCCACUUGCAUGUAAUUUGCAAAAAGACUGUAAACAUGGCCCAAAAAGUGUAUUCAAAUGCAAAAAGUUAAGCCUUUCCUUACUACUCAAAAAAGAAGGCUUUUUUGCUAACAAAACAAAAGUAGCACAAGAUUACUUAGCACACUUACCUAACAAGAUUGGUUUCUUCAUACAAUCCCCAAAGAAUCAAAGAACCUAAAGGAUCUACUCGGAAACCUUUAUGAUAAUAACAAUAAUAACCUUGGUGAUAA